rnacentral:rRNA from 1 species
GACAGUACCCGCGGAAUAAGCCUCGGCUAACUACGUGCCAGCAGCCGCGGUAAUACGUAGGAGGCAAGCGUUGUCCGGAAUUACUGGGUGUAAAGCGCGUGUAGGCGGCAGACUAAGUCUGGGGUGAAAGCGCCCGGCUCAACUGGGCAGAGUCCCUGGAAACUAGUCAGCUGGAGGACGGUAGAGGUGCAUGGAAUUCCCGGUGUAGUGGUGAAAUGCGUAGAGAUCGGGAGGAACACCCGUGGCGAAGGCGGUGCACUGGGCCGGUCCUGACGCUGAGACGCGAAGGCGUGGGGAGCGAACGGGAUUAGAUACCCCGGUAGUCCACGCAGUAAACGAUGCACACUAGGUGUGGGGGGUAUCGAGCCCCUCCGUGCCGUAGCUAACGCAGUAAGUGUGCCACCUGGGGAGUACGGCCGCAAGGUUAAAACUCAAAGGAAUUGACGGGGGCCCGCACAAGCAGCGGAGCGUGUGGUUUAAUUCGAUGCAACGCGAAGAACCUUACCCAGGCUUGACAUGGCCUUGCAAACCGGGGAAACCCGGUCCUCUUCGGACAAGGUCACAGAUGUUGCAUGGCUGUCGUCAGCUCGUGUCGUGAGAUGUUGGGUUAAGUCCCGCAACGAGCGCAACCCUCGUGUGAUGUUGCAAAUCAUCGCAGACUGCCGGUACAAGCCGGAGGAAGGUGGGGAUGACGUCAAGUCCGCAUGGCUCUUACGUCUGGGGCUACACACACGCUACAAUGGCCGGGACAGCGGGCAGCCACGGGGCGACCCGGAGCGAAUCCCAAAACCCGGUCUCAGUUCGGAUGGCAGGCUGCAACUCGCCUGCCUGAAGUCGGAGUUGCUAGUAACCGCGUGUCAGCAUAGCGCGGUGAAUAUGUUCCCGGGCCUUGUACACACCGCCCGUCACGUCAUGGGAGCUGCCAACACCUGAAGUCCGUGGGCCAACCCGCAAGGGAGGUAGCGGCCGAGGGUGGGGGUGGUGACUGGGACGAAGUCGUAACAAGGUAGCCGUA